ACAGGCCGCAGAUCUGAGCGUUGGCCUGCCUGUUUUUGUAUUUUUGGAUUUAGCCUGGUUUGUUGGGCUCCCGGCGAAUCCUUGCGUUCCUUCUGCACUUCGACGCGGCACCAUGGGCUGCACUAUUGUACUGCGGCAAGCUGACGUCGUCCGGUGGAGCUUCGUACGGGUACUACUGCUGCUUACCUGGUGCCACAACGUUGAAUGAAUGCACAAAAAGCCCGCAACGAGCAUUUGUAUAGAAUAAAAUAUUUUCUCAUUUCACAA